CAGAGCUGAGAGAGGCCCAGGAUUGGGAGAGCGGAGGGAGAGAGAGAGGAGAGAGGGAGAGUCAGCCACACAGACACAAUAGAUAGCCGUGGCUUUGACAAUGCCUUCCCCAAACGCCAGAACAUUUGCUCCCUCUCCAUGACACCCGCAUUCAGCCAGACAGACUACGCUGGACACAAACAAAGUUGCGGCAUAAGGACUUUCUUGUCCCCCUCCCUCUCUUUUCACUCACAAGUAUAACAGAGCCUAUAGGACAUGGGAAACACAGGAGAACAAAGGUAGGGUGCACCCAAUAGCACCUCCGCUACGCUACCCGACAGAACAGACCCACUUCUCUUUUUCUUAAACAAUCGCAGCUUGGCUGUGCACUAUGGGCAGUAACAAUUCCCUUAGUAAGAAACAGACAGUUCUGCCCACUCCACAAUAUAUUGCAGCUACAGGGGCUGUGCAUACAGGUGUAGGAUCUUAACUUGAUCACCUUAUUGCAGGAUAACUUUCCUGCAUAGCAGGAAAUGUAAGACAUGUAGUGUAUUUUGUCAUUUCAGACUUGAUUUUCCCUUACAAAAAAUUAAUCAACCCCUACAAAAAUGUCCAUUAAUUAUAAUUCCCAUAAUAAUUUCCAUUGCCUGUAGCUGCAGGAGUAUUUUCCUGACGUAGCAAACUGGCUCAAAUUAAGAUCCUACAUCUGUAGUUUCAUACAGACAGACCCAGGCACGAAAAAAGCUUGUUUUUAACGGUUCAGCAGAGAGAGGAAGCCAGGAGGAAACGUGCAACAAAGCAGGCAGAGGAGGAACUUUUCUAGUGAACUUAAUAAGGCAAAUACUGUAUGUGGCAAUGGAGGAGAGACUAUGGAGUCUUGGCAUUUACUGUCUCUCAAAGACUGGGAUGUAGGAUUUGAUUAGAAAACUAUAAUACAUACAAAUAUACAGUAGCCAAUUGAAAACUACCUACCUGAUCAUCAUGUUCAACCUAUAAUUGAAUUAAACAUAAAUAGCUUAUAAAUAGUAUAUCUUAUAUGUUAAAUACAGUACCAGUCAAAAUUUAGACACACCUAAUUUUUGAAAAUAUUUUCUAUGUUGUAGAAUAAAAGUGA